UCCCAUCAAUGUAGGGUGCGAGGCACAAUGUGCAUGCACUUGCCAUCACGCACAGAUGGGCACAGCUCCGUGCACCCUAUGCGGGAAUCAUCGGCACAGUAGGCCUGCCUGUUUAGGUCGACACGCAUAGCUGACUAGGGUAGUAUGCACUGCCUUGGGUAGUGCGUGCCACCCCUUUGGGCACUACGCACUGCCUUCAGGCAAUGCGCGACCGUCACUUGUCAGCAUUCCUCUAGUUUUCGUGCUAUAGUCACACCGUAUCGUCCAUCCGUCAGUCACAUUCAUUAGUCAUCACAUC
rnacentral:lncRNA from 1 species